rnacentral:lncRNA from 1 species
ACUGAAUAAUUAAUAUAAUACUAGUGGAGGCCCGCGCUUCGCGGCGGAAAAUUUACAUAAUUUUUAACAUAUUUUAAAUAAUUUUUUUAAUAUUUUAAUUUUUAAAUCUAAUUUAAAAUUUUAAGCAUUAAAAAAUUAAAUAUAAAAAUUAUAUAUAGUAAAUAAAUAUAGAUUUAUAAAUAAAAUUAGAUAUAUAUAAAUUAGAUUUAAAAUUUAAAAUUUGAAAUUUAUAUAUAAAAUUUAAAAUUUAAAGUUGUAAAAUUUU